rnacentral:rRNA from 1 species
CCUACGAGAGGCAGCAGUGGGGAAUAUUGCGCAAUGGGCGAAAGCCUGACGCAGCGACGCCGCGUGAGGGAUGAAGGUCUUCGGAUCGUAAACCUCUGUCAGCAGGGAAGAACGGUCACUGUGGUAAUCAGCAGUGAAUUGACGGUACCUGCAAGGGAAGCACCGGCUAACUCCGUGCCAGCAGCCGCGGUAAUACGGAGGGUGCGAGCGGUAACCGGAAUUACUGGGGGUAAAGCGAUCGUAGGCGGUAUGUCAAGUCAAUGUUGAAAUCCCCGCGCGCAACGUGGGAACUGCCUUUGAAACUGGCAAACUGGAGUUUGUGAGAGGAUAGUGGAAUUCCAGGUGUAGGAGUGAAAUACGUAGAUAUCUGGAGGAACAUCAGUGGCGAAGGCGACUAUCUGGCACAUAACUGACGCUGAGGAGCGAAAGCGUGGGUAGCAAACAGGAUUAGAUACCCUGGUAGUC